AGUCACUGACAUUAGAUACCCGGGUAGUCCCAGCCGUAAACAAUGUGCGUUAGGUAUGUCGGUAACCACGUGUUACUGAUGUGCCGAAGAGAAAUCGUGAAACGCACCACCUGGGAAGUACGGUCGCAAGGCUGAAACUUAAAGGGAUUGGCGGGGAGCACCACAACAGGUGGAGCCUGCGGUUUAAUUGGACUCAACGCCGGGAAGCUCACCGGAUAGGACAGCAGAAUGAUUGCCGGGCUGAAGACCCUGCAUGACUAGCUG
rnacentral:rRNA from 1 species